UAAUCUAUUGGAGAAUGAUUUUGGAUGGGCUGCGUUAAAACUGCAUCAAGCUGUAAAUGAACACACUGGCCAAAAGAUCGCUUCCGAGAUUGAUCAAUGGUUGAAGUCUCUUUCUGGUUUGCAAUCGGAGAAGUUUUCCAAGCCGAACCUUGUUCAUAUGGGAAGCUCACCGAGGUUUAACAAGUACGGAUGCGAGUUUGGGCUGGGAAAGGCUGUGGCGGCUAGAAGCGGUUAUAACAACAAGCAUGAUGGGAAGGUAUCGGCUUAUCCCGGAAGAGAAGGAGGAGGAAGCAUUGAUUUGGAAGUAUGUCUUCUUCCAGAGUUUAUGGAAGCUUUGGAGUCAGAUCAAGAGUUCAUGUCUCUGGUCUCUUCUUGAUCCUAGUUACUCAUAUUUUCCAGACACAAAACUCCACGUCAUUCUCUUUUUUUUUUUUCUUUCAAAACUGAAGCUAUGGAAUCAAAUGUCUUUGUUGGUUAAUUUCACCGGUUCAAAUGUUACAAAUUUAUUUAAGAUCAGCGGUUCACGGGUUCUUGAUUGUAGCUUUUCCCUAGUCUCUAAGUAGUUAACUCAUCUCUUGGGGGAUUCACCUACUCAGAAGAAAGUGAGUUAGGUGAAGUAACAAGCCAGAGUUUCUUUCCAUAGAAGUGAUCAGCCAAAGAAGAGUAAACCUCUCGUUAUGACAGGACCGGCUAUAGAACGAGUCUUCUUUGGCUUCCAAGUCGUUGAAAAAAUGCCUUUCAAGCUCCCAAGUAGCUUCUCACCCUGAAACCAAACACAAAACAUAUAAUGAGAGUUUUUACCCUCCCAAAACAAACAGAGCUGCUUGGUUAGUGGUUUUAAAAAUCUCAAUUUCCUGUCUUUGGCGUCCCACCAGACUGAGAUCAUCCAAUCAUAACUAUGUGUUCAUGUGUUAUUCAGUUGAUGAGAUUGUGAGACUUUAGUUGAAAUCAUUAAUCAUGCAUGUGUUAGUUAAUUUGGGAUUAUCAAUUUGUAUUGGAGUUUAACCCUUAAAAGAGAGAAGCAGAUGAAUACAUGACCCUUAAUUUAAAAAGCUUAACUAGAGAAUCAUGUUCAACGUGGAAUUAAAAAAUCUAAUUAUUGUUGAACUAGAGAAUCGUGUUAAACACGUUAGAUGAUGUAGCAGUAUAAUCGUGUUAAAAUCCUAUAACUAGAAAAUCGUGUUAAAAUCGUAUAACUAGAUAAUCGUGUUCAACAUGGAAUGAUAUAGCUGUUUACUGUAUAUAUAUACAUAAGAAUGAAAAUUGAAAAACAACAAAGAAACAUUGAAAGAAAGAAACAAAGGAAAAUGGUUUCUUCUUCUUCAUCAUUGGAAGUAAAGAUUCUAUCGCAAUGCUUCGUCAAACCCAAAACCCUCCCUGAAAAAUCAAAAGAGCAAUACCAUUUUUCACCAUUGGAUCAUGUGAUGCUCUCAAUCCAGUACAUCCAAAAGGGUCUUCUCUUUAUCAAACCAUCAAUUGCAUCUGAAUCUGCUGAUGCAGUCCAGCCAAAAGACUUCAUGGAGGCUUUUCUGCAAAAGCUUAAAGACUCUCUAGCAACAACACUUGUCCAUUUUUACCCUCUCGCAGGUCGUCUCUCGACUUCGAAAACAGAAAAUCCGAGAUCUCACUCGGUGUUUGUGGACUGUGAAAACAGUCCUGGAGCUGGGUUUAUCCAUGCAAAAUCGGAUCUAAGUGUAUCAAACAUUGUAGGGUCCAAAUAUGUUCCUUUGGUCGUUCAAUCUUUCUUUGAUCAUCACAAAGCAGUGAAUCUCGAUGGCCAAACCAUGAGUCUUUUAUCAGUCAAGGUACAAUUAUUCCAUCAUGUGUACAUAUGUUAUCAGAUUUGUAGUGGUAAAGGCUGUUCUUUUAUAUAACGAGCUUGUAACAUAGUGUUAUAGCUAGUGACUGGUUUUAAACCCUGAAACGUGCGUGUGUAGGUAACAGAAUUGGUAGAUGGAGUUUUCAUAGGAAUGUCUAUGAAUCAUUCGAUUGGAGACGGAAGUUCCUUCUGGCAGUUCUUCAACUCUUUGUCUGAGAUCUUCAAUUCAGAAGAAGAUACCACCCACAACAAGUUUUCUUGUCUCAAGAAUCCUCCAAUCUUUCGUGAAGCCUACGGUCCUAUUUGCAGGCUUCCCUUCAGUCCACUUGAUCAGUCCAUUAGUACUCGAUUCGAAUCUCCGGUUUUGAAAGUGAGAAUGUUCCAUUUCUCAUCAGAAACAGUCAGAUCAUUGAAAUCAAAGGCGAAUCAAGAAUGCGGAACAACGAAGAUCUCUUCUUUGCAGUCGUUAACAGCAUUUAUUUGGAGAAGCAUCACAAGAGCAAGAAAAGUACCAAAUGAUCAAGAAACAACUUGCAGGCUUGUUGCUGGAAACAGAUCAAGAAUGAAUCCACCAUUGCCAAUGAAUCACUUUGGGGUUUACGUCUCUCUUGCAAGUACGACUACAAGAAUUGGUAAUCUAUUGGAGAAUGAUUUUGGAUGGGCUGCGUUAAAACUGCAUCAAGCUGUAAAUGAACACACUGGCCAAAAGAUCGCUUCCGAGAUUGAUCAAUGGUUGAAGUCUCUUUCUGGUUUGCAAUCGGAGAAGUUUUCCAAGCCGAACCUUGUUCAUAUGGGAAGCUCACCGAGGUUUAACAAGUACGGAUGCGAGUUUGGGCUGGGAAAGGCUGUGGCGGCUAGAAGCGGUUAUAACAACAAGCAUGAUGGGAAGGUAUCGGCUUAUCCCGGAAGAGAAGGAGGAGGAAGCAUUG
rnacentral:lncRNA from 1 species